UACGAAGGGGGCAAGCGUUGUUCGGAAUUACUGGGCGUAAAGGGCGCGCAGGCGGCCUCUCAAGUCAGAUGUGAAAGCCCCGGGCUCAACCUGGGAAUAGCAUUUGGGACUGGGAGGCUUGAGAUCGGGAGAGGAGAGUGGAAUUCCCAGUGUAGAGGUGAAAUUCGUAGAUAUUGGGAAGAACACCAGUGGCGAAGGCGGCUCACUGGCCCGGUACUGACGCUGAGGUGCGAAAGCGUGGGGAGCAAACAGG
rnacentral:rRNA from 1 species